UGGCUGCAGUCGAGGAUCUUCGGCAAUGGGCGAAAGCCUGACCGAGCGACGCCGCGUGGACGAUGAAGGCCUUCGGGUUGUAAAGUCCUGUCGAGGGGGAUCAAGGCGCAAGCUUGAGUGAUCCCUGGAGGAAGCACGGGCUAAGUUCGUGCCAGCAGCCGCGGUAAGACGAACCGUGCAAACGUUAUUCGGAAUCACUGGGCAUAAAGGGCGCGUAGGCGGCUUCAUAAGUCAGGGGUGAAAUCCGGCAGCUCAACUGUCGCAGUGCCUUUGAUACUGUGAAGCUCGAGGGAUGUAGGGGUCUGUGGAACUUCCGGUGGAGCGGUGAAAUGCGUUGAUAUCGGAAGGAACGCCGGUGGCGAAAGCGACGGACUGGACAUUUUCUGACGCUGAGGCGCGAAAGCCAGGGGAGCAAACGGGAUUAGAUACCCCGGUAGUCCUGGCCCUAAACGAUGGGUACUAGAUUGCGGACUUACAUGGGUUCGCAGUCGAAGCUAAUGUUUUAAGUACCCCGCCUGGGGAGUAUGGUCGCAAGGCUGAAACUCAAAGGAAUUGACGGGGGCUCACACA
rnacentral:rRNA from 1 species